GUUAUCACUGUGUUUAAGGAUGUGUUUGCUUCCAACUCCAUGCCAUACAUAGGAACUAGACUAUUUCAUAUCACUCCCUAUGAUGUUCAGAUUGGCUACUCAGUCCUUUCUCGCAGCAGCUAUGUUCCUCACCCAUCCCGCCGGCCCCUGUCACUCCUCCACCAGUCAUUGCAGUCUCUGGAACCCAUCAUGAAGUGUGUGCAGAUGAGUUGGAUGGUCAUCCUUGUGGGGCCAGCCUCUGUGGGCAAGACCAGCCUGGUCCAGCUUCUGGCACACCUUACUGGCCAUACCUUAAAGAUCAUGGCUAUGAAUAGUGCAAUGGAUACUACUGAGCUUCUAGGUGGAUUUGAGCAGGUUAGACUUUGAUCCACAAUCAGACCAGGCCGAACAGCUCUUUGAGCUCUUAGAAUCGGUUGCAAACAAGACAAUUAUUUACCUUGACCGGGAAAAGAGGAUUUUCACCGAAGCAAAUUUGUUAUCUGUUGGUAGUAAAAAGUUAAGAAGCAAUGCUUUGAGGAUGUCUUUUGAAUUUCACAAAGAUCCAGAGACCUACCAUAGCCCACCCCAUGAAAUUGUGGCCAAUCUUGCUGCUUUCUUUGAGUUGAUUGAUGGCCUGAUCCUGCUCUGGGUACAGUCUCCCCAAGGGAUGGUUCCUGAUGCCCAUGUCAAUAAGGUGAGGCAGUGCUUUGACCUUCGCUGUUUUUAGAGUACAUUUCAACAUGCAUAUGCUUGAUAAAACCAAUACAGCAAUCAAGAUAGUAAG
rnacentral:lncRNA from 1 species